UACGGAGGGUGCAAGCGUUAUCCGGAUUCACUGGGUUUAAAGGGUGCGUAGGCGGGUAAAUAAGUCAGUGGUGAAAUCUUCAAGCUUAACUUGGAAACUGCCAUUGAUACUAUUUAUCUUGAAUGUUCUGGAGGUCAGCGGAAUAUGUCAUGUAGCGGUGAAAUGCUUAGAUAUGACAUAGAACACCUAUUGCGAAGGCAGCUGACUACGGAAAUAUUGACGCUGAGGCACGAAAGCGUGGGGAUCAAACAGG
rnacentral:rRNA from 1 species